GGUCANCUGUAAAUAAGGUCUUUAGGUAGUAGUAGUGCUCUUGAAACCCAAAAAGAUUGGCGGUAGUUGGAACGUUGCAGGGGAAUUUGUUUUUAUAAUAUGAUGGUGCGCAAUUAUAUUUUCUUGAGCUAUACAAGCUUGUAUACCGUUGUGGAGAUUAUUUUUAAGUAUUGAUUUCUUAAAACAAGGUUUUGUUAAAGGUCAAAUCAAGGUGUAGCUUAUGUUCAUAGUAUGGAUGAAUUACAAUAUACAAAUAUAUAAUGGAGUUUGAGUUUUGAUACUUAGAUGAAGGUGGAUUUGUUUGUAAAAUUUAAAUAGAAUGUUUUUUUGAAGUUAGUUCUGAAUUAUGC
rnacentral:rRNA from 1 species